GGGUUGUGAGGUUAAGCGACUAAGCGUACACGGUGGAUGCCCUGGCAGUCAGAGGCGAUGAAGGACGUGCUAAUCUGCGAUAAGCGUCGGUGAGGUGAUAUGAACCGUUAUAACCGGCGAUUUCCGAAUGGGGAAACCCAGUGUGUUUCGACACACUAUCAUUAACUGAAUCCAUAGGUUAAUGAGGCGAACCGGGGGAACUGAAACAUCUAAGUACCCCGAGGAAAAGAAAUCAACCGAGAUUCCCCCAGUAGCGGCGAGCGAACGGGGAGGAGCCCAGAGCCUGAAUCAGUGUGUGUGUUAGUGGAAGCGUCUGGAAAGGCGCGCGAUACAGGGUGACAGCCCCGUACACAAAAAUGCACAUACUGUGAGCUCGAUGAGUAGGGCGGGACACGUGGUAUCCUGUCUGAAUAUGGGGGGACCAUCCUCCAAGGCUAAAUACUCCUGACUGACCGAUAGUGAACCAGUACCGUGAGGGAAAGGCGAAAAGAACCCCGGCGAGGGGAGUGAAAAAGAACCUGAAACCGUGUACGUACAAGCAGUGGGAGCCUCUUAAUGGGGUGACUGCGUACCUUUUGUAUAAUGGGUCAGCGACUUAUAUUCUGUAGCAAGGUUAACCGAAUAGGGGAGCCGAAGGGAAACCGAGUCUUAACUGGGCGUUAAGUUGCAGGGUAUAGACCCGAAACCCGGUGAUCUAGCCAUGGGCAGGUUGAAGGUUGGGUAACACUAACUGGAGGACCGAACCGACUAAUGUUGAAAAAUUAGCGGAUGACUUGUGGCUGGGGGUGAAAGGCCAAUCAAACCGGGAGAUAGCUGGUUCUCCCCGAAAGCUAUUUAGGUAGCGCCUCG
rnacentral:rRNA from 1 species